UCUAUCAAAGGAAAAAAGCUCUCCACUG
rnacentral:tRNA from 1 species